AUUAUCUGGCUUCAGCGCUCCGUGCGUCCGGCCCAGGUAACAACUUCCCCAAAAACCGAAAGAGAAAAGCGCGAGGCGCACGCACACCGGCCCAUCCCGGCGCAGAGACCGCGUCUGCCCCGGGAGGGGGAUCUGUCUGUGGUGCUUCCCGGUCUCUAAGCCCAGGGACGCCUGGUUUCCCCCCAAGCGAACCGGGAUGGGAAGUGACUUCAAUGAGAUUGAACUUCAGCUGGAUUGAAAGAGAGGCUAGAAGUUCCGCUUGCCAGCAGCCUCGUUAGUAGAGCGGAAUGAGUAAUACCCACACGGUGCUUGUCUCACUUCCCCAUCCGCACCCGGCCCUCACCUGCUGUCACCUCGGCCUCCCCCACCCGGUCCGCGCUCCCCGCCCUCUUCCUCGCGUAGACCCGUGGGAUCCUAGGCGGCAGGACUCAGAGCUAAGGUAUCCACAGGCCAUGAAUUCCUUCCUAAAUGAGCGG
rnacentral:antisense_RNA from 1 species